rnacentral:misc_RNA from 1 species
GCGGACUACACGGGUUUCUAAUCCCGUUUGCUCCCCUAGCUUUCGCCGUUCAGCGUCAAUGUCGGUCCAGGAUGCCGCCUUCGCCACCGGUAUUCCUCCAGAUAUCUACGCAUUUCACCGCUACACCUGGAAUUCUGCAUCCCUCUCCCGAAUUCAAGCCAUCCAGUAUCGGAUGCAGUUCCCAGGUUAAGCCUGGGGAUUUCACAUCCGACUUAGUUGGCCGCCUACUGGCCCUUUACGCCCAGUAAUUCCGAACAACGCUUGCCCCCCCCGUAUUACCGCGGCGGCUGACAC